rnacentral:lncRNA from 1 species
UGUUAAUAAGGGCUAGUCUGCUUAGUUUCAGUCCUCAUUCAGGCACGUACAACUAGAUCCUCAUUUGUGUUUGACUGUCCUGGAGACAGUAUGUGCAAGGUUACAUAAUAUAUAGCUUCUCCUUCAGACCAAGUACAAUUAAAACAGAGGUAAAGACAGAAUUAGCCAAUUCACCCUUAAUAAAGCUCCACUCUGUAUAUUUACCUGCACAAAAAAUAUCCAUUAAAAUGCAGCUUGUUUCAGUUAACUGAAAACAGGUAAGUUUUAAAAAAUUAGAGGGCAAAAUAAGUGGGUAGACUUUAUACUUGUUACACAACAAGGAACUAAUAAUCCUUCUGCCUUCCUUGAGAGAGAGUCAGGGGUUCAGUAGCUUUAUGUGGGAUGACUGUCAUCAUUUGUUGUACUGUGGUGCUUGCAGGCUCCAGCUGAGAGGAGGGUCCCACUGUGCUGCACAGAAACAGGGAGGCAAUCCCUGCCCCAAAGCAUUUACAGUCGGAGGCUGCAAGGGUACAAGGGCCGUGACGGUCUGCGCUCCUCUGCUAAAUACCUGGGUCCCAGCACAAUGGCGGUGGCUGAGCUGAGUUUUCCUGGAUGUCCUUCGCUGUCAGUCUAUUUAGCAGGACUUUGAGGUCAAGGUGCCCUACAUCUUAGGGCCCAUGCUAACAUUUCAGUCAUAUGAAGAAAGGAAUAGAGUGCUACAUGCUGUUGUAUACUUACAGAGCCUCCUUUUUAUAGAUCAUGAAAGUGGCUCCUGGACUCCAGGGACUACCAACACAAGCUUCACACCAGUCCUUUCACCGCUGCCUUGUGGUCUUGUGAGUGGGAACCUAACCCAGCAGAGCAUCCUGACCCUCAGAAAACAUAUGCUGGGAAAAGGUGCUGUACCCAAGCUGGUUACAUAAUGGUAAGUCAGUC